rnacentral:rRNA from 1 species
AACGAACGCUGGCGGCAGGCUUAACACAUGCAAGUCGAGCGCGUGGCAACACGAGCGGCAGACGGGUGAGUAACGCGUGGGAACGUACCCUUUACUACGGAAUAACGCAGGGAAACUUGUGCUAAUACCGUAUGUGACCUUUGGGGGAAAGAUUUAUUGGUAAAGGAGCGGCCCGCGUUGGAUUAGCUAGUUGGUGGGGUAAAGGCCUACCAAGGCGACGAUCCAUAGCUGGUCUGAGAGGAUGAUCAGCCACAUUGGGACUGAGACACGGCCCAAACUCCUACGGGAGGCAGCAGUGGGGAAUAUUGGACAAUGGGCGCAAGCCUGAUCCAGCCAUGCCGCGUGAGUGAUGAAGGCCUUAGGGUUGUAAAGCUCUUUCACCGGGGAAGAUAAUGACGGUACCCGGAGAAGAAGCCCCGGCUAACUUCGUGCCAGCAGCCGCGGUAAGAC